GGAUUAUCAAAAUUCAAAUCCGAGGUCAUUUACACAUAGGUCCAUAUUCGGUCCACUUUUCUAACUUAAAAUUUUCAAUUAUGAGACUAAGUGUCUCAUUUCACUCCGAGUUCCUUCUGGACCCGAACCAACUAAUCCGAUAUAACAUAAUAUAGUUAAAUAACACAAAAAGAAGUAGAAAUGGGGAAAACGGGGCUAUAACUCUCGAAACGACUGGUCGGGUCGUUACACUUACCAGUACAUGGGGUUGGUUGUACUGAUACUGCACUCUGCACUUCCUGUGCAGAUUUUGGUGCUGGUCCGAGCUGAUCGUGAGGUUGGCUGCAAGAUUUGUCUGAUAGAAGACCUAAAGUAGAUCUACCGGCGUCCGCAGACCCUGGCGUCCCCUUCUAUACAUUAUACUUUACUGUUUCUUUCAUUUCGAAAAUAGUUGUAUCUCUUUCAAACCUUUACUUGAAGAAAAAUCUUAGAAGUUCGUGAAUUGUGACUCCAGAUCCGGCCAUACUACCUGAAAGCAAAGCCAAUGAUUACAUAAUAUAAGCAAUACAGAAGGAAAAGGCAUAUUAUAUAUAGUCUUUCACGUAUCGUGUUAAGUUGCAAGGUACUUUUGAUCAUUUCUAAUUUAAUUGAGUUCCUUUUUUCUUUUUUUGAAAUGGCAAUAAGGUAAUGCUGGAAUUUUCAGUUCAAAUGACCAAAAAAAGCAAAUGUGUAGCCGUCUUCUAAUCUUAGAGGAAUUCUAGGAAUUUCAUCAUAGUUCUAGUGGCCAGUCCUAUAUUUACCUUCUUGACAUUGUAAAAAAAAAAGUAGUCAGUGUUAACAUUUAGUUUAUCAUUUGUACACUCUUUUUGAUGAUUGAAUAUUGGAAAAGAGGCCAUCUAGUGCAGAAACAUGUAUCCCAAGUUGAAGAAUGUUGCAUAAGAAGAUGAUAAGCACACAUAUAUUUGCGACAUUCUAUCUUUCUAUUACAGAUGUUUGUUGCCACAUAAAGAUGUUCUCACCGUAAUGGAAGUCCAAGUAUUUUUUUCUCUACUAGCAAUGUCCAUAAAUUAAGGCUUAUCUGUGACUUGGUGUAGCAGAACUGGAAAGUAUAAGUAAUUUCUUAGCACGAUACUACUAGAAAUUCGUUAUUUUUCGACUAUUAAAAUAGUCGGAAAAGUACCUAUUUCGAUUACUUUCCGACUAAUUUACAGUAGUCGAAAAACGGUACGUCGGAAAAAACUUUCCGACUACAGUAGUCGGAAAUUUUCGACUACUGUAGUCAGAAAGUUUAUUCCGCCAAAAAUUCGAAUAGGGGGCUAUUUUUCGACUACAGUAGUCGAAACUUUAAAAAAUAAUUAUUUAUUUUAAAAAAAUAUGUCCGACUACUGUAGUCGGAAUAUUAUAUCAAUAAUAAUUAUUUAUUAUUUAUAUUUAUGUUAUUUUCCGACCACAGUAGUUGGAAUUUUAAAUUUUGUGGAAAUUUUCAGUGAGGUUUCAGACUAUUAUAGUCGGAAAAUCAUAAUUUCUGGGCACAUUUUCUGACUACAGUAGUCGGAAAUCUGGGUUGAUGUUUGCCAGAAUACUGUCAUUUUAUUAGCAUACCACAUGUCAAAUGACCAAUACAAUAAACAACUAAUACAACCAAUUAAUUCAACCAACCAAUUCUAACUUCAACCAACUAAGUCCAAUUUUAACCAACCAAUUCAAAUAUUCAAACCCCAUAAUAUCAAACUAAAACAUUAAUUAAAAUCUAAAUAUUCAAUAUCAAGUCUAAGUAGCAAAUAGAUAUCGACUCUAAUAUAAUAAAGUCUAAACAUGUAUACCAUAACAUCUAAACUUACAAAUAAAGUCUAAAUAUAAAUUCUAAAUACCCAAGAACAUUAAUCAACCAAAACAUACUACUAGACAUCAGAUUCAGUCUCUUCAUCAUCAUAAGAGUGGGACGUGUGCUUUUUCAUGAAUUUUGUCACUCUAACAAUGUGAACUUUGACUGUUUCACAUCGUUCCGACAAUAUCUUUUGGUGAAAUGCAUUGAGCCUUCAUACAGUGGGCGACUAGCUUCCUGUAGUUGUCCAUAAAAGUGCUUAGCCUCAUCAUUUGGUUUGGAAUUUGGUUCGCAUUGAGCCCCAGGGAAUAUCUCAAAAGCAUCUCUCAUCAUUUCAUUGAAUCGAGAAUUUUCAAAAUUAUUCUCUGCUCUUUUUACUACCCCCACCACCAAAUCUGAGAAAAUAAUACAAAUUGAGAUAUUCUUCUACAGGUUUCCACUUUGAAUAAUUGUAAUACCUUCAACAUUUUAACUAUGAAUGACUCUAUAAAUUUAAAAUUUCACAAUAAAAGUUAGGUUGAUUACAUGAAUUCUCUCACACUAGCAUUCUCUUUUAAUUACUUUUUCAAGAUCUUUCAAACAUCAGCAGAGUUUUUGACGUAUGCUUAAUUGUUUUGAAAAAAGAUAUAUAGGUCUUCAUGUUUAUUAGCUAGCUUCUAGGAUUUUUCUUCUCCUCCAUGUUUUUCUGAUUCUACUUUUGUUUUCUUUUUCUCCUUUGAAUUACAAGUAACAACUAUAGUGGUAUCAACUAAGCGGUUAAGUAUGACUAUUUUUCUUUCGUUUUUCUGGACAUCAUAUGAAUAUAAAAAAUAUGGAUCAACAUAGUCCUGUUUCUUUUGCACCAAAGUUUCAAUGUGACUUGAUUUAAAAGAAAAUAUAGAACUUAAAGUAGAGGAAUUUUGUCUCUCCUGAGAACAACGUUCAAGAGAUGAAACUCAAAAUUGGUGUUAUUAUUACAAUUAUACUACUAAUAGAUAUCCUUGAGUAAAAAGUUUCAAAUUCCAAUCCGUCUGUGUAUCUCUACCAUCUCAUUUACCAUAUUUUAUCAACCUAUCUUCUUUUUUUGUUAUGGUACUACUAAUCUAUCUUAACCCAGACAAUUAUUUUAAGAAAAAUAAACGAGUUUUUAAAGAGGUGCAGUUUCGAAUUCUUCUUCAUCAAGAGAAUUAAUAUCAAGAGAUUGCAAGAAUUACAUCUGACAUCAUAAGUAAGCUAGGCAAAAAGUUUCACAAUGGAUAUUCGUAGUUCUAGUUCAAGAUUAGUUAGAAUUGCAAACAGGUAAAGAUUUUGUACCUUAUAACAACGAAAUUACUAAUUGAAAUGCUAUAUCUCCUCUCCCUUACAGCUUGCAACUUCCUCUUGUUGGAGACAAAUUCCUAUACAGUCAACUUCUAAUUUCACUCCAAGGAGGCUACCCACUACAGUCAAAAUAAUCCCAAAAUCAAACAAGAAUUCCAUUCACGAACCUAAAAUAGCUCAGCAAUCAGCCCCAGUAAACAUACCCGAUUGGUCAAAAUUUAGGGGACGAGCUCAAAAAAAACAAAUGAUUCCUCAAUUCUUCAAAAAUGUAUUAACAGAUAAAACUACUCAAUUUACACUAAAAUUAUAAAUUAUAGUGUAAAAUACCAUGUGAUGUUGAAUGAUAUACAGAAAGGAACACCAAAUUUUCAGAAAUCAACGCACUGUAAAGUGAUAUUGUGAUAUUUUGUUAGACACUCUUAAUUUUCCUACCAAAUGUAAAGUGCAAACCUCAUUAUCAUUUAAUUAUUCCAUCAUAAUAUUCUUUCUAAGAUCUACUUAAAUUUCAAGAGCAAUCACAAAGCAUUCAAAAUAUCGCAACCUAAUCAACAAUAAUAGGCCGUUUCACCAUGAGAGAACAAACCCACUCAAAUUAUUUUUCAAACUAAGCUUUUAACACUAAAAUAGUAGUGCCACUAAUUUUGCACACUAAAAAUGAAACCCUAAGUCAUCGUCAAAGAUUAGACGGAGAGAGAGAGAGAGAGAGAGAGAGAGAGAGAGAGAGAGAGAGAGAGCCUACCUGAUGAAGAACAAUCGCUGAUUUUGCCGGUGCUGUUGGAUAUGAUUUCGCCGGCGCCAUUGAUUAACGGGACAGCUGAAGAGAGCGUGUAGAGAGAGACAAACAGUAAGAGAGAGAGAGAGAGUGUGUGUGGGAAAAAGUAUUAGAAAAGUAAG
rnacentral:lncRNA from 1 species